AUACGGAGGGGGCUAGCGUUGUUCGGAAUUACUGGGCGUAAAGCGUACGCAGGCGGACUGGAAAGUUGGGGGUGAAAUCCCGGGGCUCAACCCCGGAACUGCCCCAAAACUUCCAAUCUAGAGAUCGAGAGAGGUGAGUGGAAUUCCAAGUGUAGAGGUGAAAUUCGUAGAUAUUUGGAGGAACACCAGUGGCGAAGGCGGCUCACUGGCUCGAUACUGACGCUGAGGUACGAAAGCGUGGGGAGCAAACAGAAUUAGAUACCCUAGUAGUCC
rnacentral:rRNA from 1 species